CAGCCACAUCAUGUCAAAACACUGGUUCCCGUAUGAACACUGAACUUAAGCAACAUCAAGCCUGGUCAGUACCUAGAUGGGUGACCACUUGUGAAUACUAGGUACUGUAAG